UACGGAGGGGGCUAGCGUUGUUCGGAAUUACUGGGCGUAAAGCGUACGUAGGCGGCUUUGUAAGUUAGAGGUGAAAGCCUGGAGCUCAACUCCAGAACUGCCUUUAAGACUGCAUCGCUUGAAUCCAGGAGAGGUGAGUGGAAUUCCGAGUGUAGAGGUGAAAUUCGUAGAUAUUCGGAAGAACACCAGUGGCGAAGGCGGCUCACUGGACUGGUAUUGACGCUGAGGUACGGAAAGCGUGGGGAGCAAACAGG
rnacentral:rRNA from 1 species